ACUUCAGAUUUUCGAACAUAAACCACUCUGGAGAUUUUCCUAAACGAUGCGCCAAUAUCUCCUCUACAACACCUAUAUAGUAGUUGCCCGUCACAAUCUCUUGAAAUUGGUCAAAAAUUAACUUAAAUUGGCCUACCCCCCUAAUCUCAUUUUGUCAAUUUCACAAUAAAAGUUUUAGUUUUUUAACCGUUACUUCAGAUUUUCCAACAUAAACCACUCUGGAGAUUUUCUUAAACGAUGCGCCAUUGUCUCCUCUACAAUACCUAUAUAGUCGUUGCCCGUCAUAAUCUCUUGAAAUAGGUCAAAAAUUAACUUAAAUUGGCCUACCCCCCUAAUCUCAUUUUGUCAAUUUCACAAUUUCAGUUUUUUAAGCGUAACUUCAGAUUUUCGAACAUAAACCACUCUGGAGAUUUUCUUAAACGAUGCGCCAUUGUCUCCCCUACAACACCUGUAUAGUCGUUGCCCGUCACAAUCUCUUUAAAAUGGUCAAAAAUUAACUUAAAUUGGCCUACCCCCCUAAUCUCAUUUUGUCAAUUUCACAAUUUCAGUUUUUUAACCGUAACUUCAGAUUUUCGAACAUAAACCACUCUGGAGAUUUUCUUAAACGAUGCGCCAUUGUCUCCCCUACAACACCUGUAUAGUCGUUGCCCGUCACAAUCUCUUUAAAAUGGUCCAAAUUUUUCUUUUAGUGCCCUAACCCCCUAAUCUCAUUUUGUCAAUUUCACAAUAAAAGUUUCAGUUUUUUAACCGUAACUUCAGAUUUUCGAACAUAAACCACUCUGAAGAUUUUCCUAAACGAUGCGCCAAUGUCUCCUCUACAACACCUAUAUA